CACUAGCUUCGGAUUUCCAAACUAAUACUCAUCUCUUAAAAGCCGAGCCAAGAAGAAAAUGCGAGGAAGGCCUCAGAUGCGGGAGACCUCGGGCUUGAAGGUCCAUCUAUGUUUUCCACAGCAAGUUAUGAAACUGGCACCGUCCUUAUCCUCUUUCCAUCUGGAAAGGGUGGUUUCAUCCAAGAUCUUCAAAGGGGAGUGACCCACUCGAGUACCUUUAGGGAUCCAGUCCAACCGACUCAAUGAAGAGUGCAGCAGAGGAAGAGGUCGCACAUGCUAGAUAUGGGUGAUGGAGAACUUCUCAUGGCACGGUCCCAGGGUUGAUGUUAGUGGUGACAAAAAUGCAAUUGGACGAGUCACAACUUGUAAGGAAGAUCCAGAUCCUCAGAGGUACCUAACUCUAUUGGGCCCAGAUCCUUGGAGCAGUACAGGUAUAUAAUGCCCAUUGAUUGCAGAGGGGUUAAGCAGUUUAACACCCUUCUCUAUGGAUUUGAGAACUGAGCAGAGAUCUCAGACUCCAACCUCUAUAAAACAAAAUGGGUGACUUUAGGAUAGCCCAGAAGAGAAGAACAAGGAAUGAUAUGGGGUCAUCAAGUACAAAUAACCAAGCAGAGCACCAGUCUUCUAAGGUGCUGCUGUAUGGCUCACUGAAGUCAAUGAAAAGAUCCUUCACGAUUUCGGUAGAUCAGCCCUGGUGCUUUACUCUUCAGCUGAGCGGGUUGGAACACUGCCUGUCUCCUGCCUCUUCCCAGGGAAGGAGGCGAGUGCCUGCAGGUGACCUCCAAGGGAGCUCUCAAAGGCGAUGCACCCGCUCAGGAGUGGCUAACACUGAUUUGAUCUUGGAGAGAUCCACAAGCUGAACUCAGACCCAAAGCUGGCGUCUUUGCAGAAGACAGAAGGAAGACCACAAGCCUUCACGUGAGCCUUGAAGUCUCGAGGAGAAGGCGGGGAGGGGCUCGACCCCAUCUCCUGCCUGGUUGCUCUUAAUCUCCUGCAGGAAUGUGACAUUCCACAAAAGCUCUUCUUGGGGCAACGGUGGAGGCCACUGCCAAACCCCAGUGAGCUGUACCUCUCCUUCCUCUACCCUGAAUCAUCCACAAUAAUCCUUUAGCUGGGGGCUGAAGGCAUAGAAAAAAGAAAAGAUAAAAGGGAGCUUGAAUCAAUGCUGACUUCUGUGGUAGCUAAUGCUUUAAAAAUGCCUAAAGAUCACUUUGAUUGCACACUGUUUGGGCCAUGCGCCAUCCUUUCAUUACUUAUCCAUGUACAGGAGAGCUCACUAACAUUCUGUUGAAAAUAUAUUUUUCUUUUGGCCAAAUCCAGAUUUCUUUUAGCAGAAAACAAAAAAUAUUUUAGCUGAAAUUAAUUUUUUUCCCCAAGUGAUCCCCACCCCCCCCAACAAGUAGAGGAAAACAGGUAUUUUUUUAGAAGCUUUUGAGUUCAAUAAAAAAUACAUUUCUACUGAAAUAUACUUCAAGGCAAUUUUUUACCUAUGGCUAAUUUUUUGGCUAUGUCUAACAUAUAGUAGCUGCUUAGGAAUCUCUCUGCUGUAAACAGGAUUAUUACUAAAAAAUAGAAGAGUGUGAGGAUGCCGGAAGGGGAAAAUCUCACCAUUUUCUUUUAUCCUAGACAGAUCACUUCAAUGGGCUAAUAGCCAAGAAGGUUAAAAUAUUAAUGGAUCCUGCACAGAACACACCAGAUGGAAAAGAUCUGAGUUGGGCAAAAACUAUUUGUUGAAAUUUGUACUUUUGAGUGAAAUCUUUUCAGAAGGGUGGAGCAUCAGGCAAAGGAGCAUCUCACCCUUAGGACACAUUUUUGUGAUACUUCAAAGGAAAAAUUGUGAAUUCUUGCUUGCGGUUUCAUUGAUGUAUAUUCCUUCCAGAACUCUGAAAAACUUCCCUCUCCAACGAGGUUUGGUCCUGUGGGUCAGUGGAUCCUCCUGGCAAGCUGGUGAAAUGUCUUCUGGGCUAUCAAGGGAAAUGCCUUCAGGUCAGCACUUGCAUGGAGGCGUCUGCCUCUGCCCUCCCUCCAGGCUAUGGGCUGAUUAUAGACAAGGUCUUUAGGGACCUAGCACGGGUUGUCACUUUUAGAUGGGCAGGAGGAAGGGGAAGGCAGCAGUGAUGAAGUAAUAGCUGUUAUGGCAGAAUGAGGACUGCUCCAGUGACAUGGUAACACCACGCAGCAGUCCUGGCAUGUGAGCCUUGGUAAACUUAGGGGGUUUAUAGCUUUAUGGAUGCUGGCAGUCAAUCUUAGGAAUCCCUUAACAUUAUCAAGCCAACUACAUUACUUGAUGGAAUGAUUAUUUUUGUAUUAACCUUAUGAAUAUUAACACUCAUGAACUUCUUCCUAAGUAAUUGUUAAUAUAUGAUAUUAUGAAAAUAAUAAAAAUGUUGAAGGAGCUUUCAAGCCA